AGCGAACGCUGGCGGCAGGCCUAACACAUGCAAGUCGAACGAACCCUUCGGGGUUAGUGGCGGACGGGUGAGUAACACGUGGGAACGUGCCUUUAGGUUCGGAAUAACUCAGGGAAUCUUGUGCUAAUACCGAAUGUGCCCUUCGGGGGAAAGAUUUAUCGCCUUUAGAGCGGCCCGCGUCUGAUUAGCUAGUUGGUGAGGUAAUGGCUCACCAAGGCUACGAUCAGUAGCUGGUCUGAGAGGAUGACCAGCCACAUUGGGACUGAGACACGGCCCAAACUCCUACGGGAGGCAGCAGUGGGGAAUCUUGCGCAAUGGGCGAAAGCCUGACGCAGCCAUGCCGCGUGGAUGAUGAAGGUCUUAGGAUUGUAAAAUCCUUUCGCCGGUGAAGAUAAUGACUGUAGCCGGAGAAGAAGCCCCGGCUAACUUCGUGCCAGCCGCCGCAGUAACAC
rnacentral:rRNA from 1 species